rnacentral:rRNA from 1 species
CCUACGGGAGGCAGCAGUGGGGGAUAUUGCACAAUGGGGGGAACCCUGAUGCAGCGACGCCGCGUGAGCGAUGAAGUAUUUCGGUAUGUAAAGCCCUAUCAGCAGGGAAGAAAAUGACGGUACCUGACUAAGAAGCCCCGGCUAACUACGUGCCAGCAGCCGCGGUAAUACGUAGGGGGCAAGCGUUAUCCGGAUUUACUGGGUGUAAAGGGAGCGUAGACGGCAGUGCAAGUCUGAAGUGAAAGGCAAGGGCCCAACCUUUGGACUGCUUUGGAAACUGCGAGGCUGGAGUGCAGGAGGGGCAAGUGGAAUUCCUAGUGUAGCGGUGAAAUGCGUAGAUAUUAGGAGGAACACCAGUGGCGAAGGCGGCUUGCUGGACGAUGACUGACGUUGAGGCUCGAAAGCGUGGGGAGCAAACAGGAUUAGAUACCCCAGUAGUC